AGCUCGGUAGUCUAUAAAGGCUUAGGACGCUCGCACGGAAUGCCAGAGAUCCGGGUUCGAUUCCCGGCCGAGGUA
rnacentral:tRNA from 1 species